AGUAAUCAAUUCACCAAAAAAAAAACAUGGUUACUACACUUUUACCACAAUAAAACCAUGGUUAAUUUUCGUAAGGGUUGGUGUGAUUAUGGUUAAAACAAGGCAAAACUGAACCAAAAGAAGAAAUAUAGCAUUUAAGAGUUAAUAGUUACAACAUACAAAGUUAUAUUCUAGGACUUUUUUCUAAGAAUACAUUUUUAAAUGUAAACUAUUUUGAUAUGUUAUUGAUAAGUAUACUUUUUUAUUGAACAGGAAACCAUUUCAGUAUUCACUGAGCUUUCUGACAACAGGGACCUUUGAUUUUACAGAGGUUAGUGAAAUAGCCUAUGCAAUAGAAACCGCCAUAUUAUUAAAAGUAAACUAACUCAGUAUUAAUUUUUAACUUAGCCUGUCAUGCCUUGCAUUAGUGUCUGCUGCUUUUGGAGAAUUCAUCCUUUGAGGUCAGAGAUGCUGAAAGUGCAACUCCAGUAAAAGAGGAGAGUAGAGAGCAGAGGUGAUGAAAUCCCCCUGCAUGUUGAUUAUUUGACCAAGAUGCCUAUUGACAUCCUCUGGCGGAUCCUGAUGGAAGUCGUUACAGAGACGGCAUUGUGGCUUUCUGGAGACUUUCACUGAUGUGCAAGGUCUUCAUGGACGUUGUCAGCAAACCCAAAUUCACUGUAUGGCUGGAAAGUAAUCUAAAUUUAAUCUAAAUUGUGUUGUGAGCUGAAGUGCAUUUUCCAGACAAUAUAGGCAAGAGCUCCGGGUGCCCUACUCGUUGACUUUGAAAUAUACAAGGACUGCCCACCUGGGUAUCUAGGUGAUGGCAGAAGGGGACUCCUGAAUGGGUUUUAUUCCGACAAGGAGGUUCAGGGCUAUUGCUCGGUUGAUUGUUUUUUCAAUGAUGGAGGGGAACUUCUGGCUGUGUAGAUUGUGUGUAUACGGUUAAUGUACCGUACAUGAUUAUCUGUGUGUGUAUUAUGUCUUUUUAACAAUUAUUUUUGUUUUGAAAUAAAAGUUAUCACUGGUA